GACGAACGCUGGCGGCGUGCUUAACACAUGCAAGUCGUGCGGUAAGGCCCUUUCGGGGGUACCCGAGCGGCGCACGGGUGCGUAACACGUGAGCAACCUGCCCUUCACUUUGGGAUAACUGCCGGAAACGGUGGCUAAUACCGCAUAUGACUUCCUCACGCAUGUGGGGUGGUGGAAAGCCUUCGGGUGGUGGGGGAUGGGCUCGCGGUCUAUCAGCUUGUUGGUGGGGUGAUGGCCUACCAAGGCUUCGACGGGUAGCCGGCCUGAGAGGGUGACCGGCCACACUGGGACUGAGGCACGGCCCAGACUCCUACGGGAGGCAGCAGUGGGGAAUAUUGGACAAUGGGCGAAAGCCUGAUCCAGCAACGCCGCGUGAGGGAUGACGGCCUUCGGGUUGUAAACCUCUUUCGCCUGCGACGAAGCGAGAGUGACGGUAGCAGGUAAAGAAGCACCGGCCAACUACGUG
rnacentral:rRNA from 1 species